GACGAACGCUGGCGGCGUGCUUAACACAUGCAAGUCGAACGGAAAGGCCCUGCUUUUGUGGGGUGCUCGAGUGGCGAACGGGUGAGUAACACGUGAGUAACCUGCCCUUGACUUUGGGAUAACUUCAGGAAACUGGGGCUAAUACCGGAUAGGAGCUCCUGCUGCAUGGUGGGGGUUGGAAAGUUUCGGCGGUUGGGGAUGGACUCGCGGCUUAUCAGCUUGUUGGUGGGGUAGUGGCUUACCAAGGCUUUGACGGGUAGCCGGCCUGAGAGGGUGACCGGCCACAUUGGGACUGCGAUACGGCCCAGACUCCUACGGGAGGCAGCAGUGGGGAAUAUUGCACAAUGGGCGGAAGCCUGAUGCAGCAACGCCGCGUGCGGGAUGACGGCCUUCGGGUUGUAAACCGCUUUCGCCUGUGACGAAGCGUGAGUGACGGUAAUGGGAAAAGAAGCACCGGCUAACUACGUG
rnacentral:rRNA from 1 species